rnacentral:misc_RNA from 1 species
GCAAACUUGGUCAUUUAGAGGAAGUAAAAGUCGUAACAAGGUUUCCGUAGGUGAACCUGCGGAAGGAUCAUUAGAGAUUUUCAGGUCGGUCAUUGGGGACAAGCUGGGACUUUUCCCACGCCCUUUGGCCCUCCGCACACCAAACAACGUGAACAACCGGUGACGGCCCUGCCGUCGCCACCUUUACAACUGUCGUCCUAUGUCUUGAAAGCAAACAAAAGAGUACAACUCUCAACGAUGGAUCUCUUGGCUCUCGCAUCGAUGAAGAACGCAGC